GGGCAGCCGCGUCCUUCGUCAAGCUCAGGAUGAGCGGGGGGAAGGCCGAGGAAAGUCCGGGCUCCACGAAACAAGGGUGGCGGGUAACGCCCGCCGGGCUUGAGGCUUCGGCCAACGGUCAAGGGAAAGUGCCACAGAGAGCAGACCGCUAACCGGAGCGAUCCGGCAGCAAGGGUGAAAGGGUGCGGUAAGAGCGCACCGCGCGACCGGCAACGGAAGCGGCAUGGCAAACCCCACUCGGAGCAAGAUCGAAUAGGGACUGCGCGCUCUUCGGAGCAGGCCUGUUUCGGGCCAGCAGUCCGGGUUGAUUGCUUGAGCGUUCCGGCAACGGUCCGCCUAGAGGAAUGGCUGCCAGUGCCGAUACGGUCCAACCUUGGUUGGAUACCGUCGGCGCUACAGAACCCGGCUUACAGGCCCCCUGGCGCA
rnacentral:RNase_P_RNA from 1 species